rnacentral:tRNA from 1 species
UUCCUGGUGGUCUAGUGGUUAGGAUUUGGUGCUCUCACUGCUGUGGCCUAGGUUCAAUCCCUGGUCUGGGAA